rnacentral:rRNA from 1 species
GCGGACGGGUGAGUAAUGCUUAGGAAUCUGCCUAUUAGUGGGGGACAACAUCUCGAAAGGGAUGCUAAUACCGCAUACGUCCUACGGGAGAAAGCAGGGGAUCUUCGGACCUUGCGCUAAUAGAUGAGCCUAAGUCGGAUUAGCUAGUUGGUGGGGUAAAGGCCUACCAAGGCGACGAUCUGUAGCGGGUCUGAGAGGAUGAUCCGCCACACUGGGACUGAGACACGGCCCAGACUCCUACGGGAGGCAGCAGUGGGGAAUAUUGGACAAUGGGGGGAACCCUGAUCCAGCCAUGCCGCGUGUGUGAAGAAGGCCUUAUGGUUGUAAAGCACUUUAAGCGAGGAGGAGGCUACUUUAGUUAAUACCUAGAGAUAGUGGACGUUACUCGCAGAAUAAGCACCGGCUAACUCUGUGCCAGCAGCCGCGGUAAUACAGAGGGUGCGAGCGUUAAUCGGAUUUACUGGGCGUAAAGCGUGCGUAGGCGGCUUAUUAAGUCGGAUGUGAAAUCCCCGAGCUUAACUUGGGAAUUGCAUUCGAUACUGGUGAGCUAGAGUAUGGGAGAGGAUGGUAGAAUUCCAGGUGUAGCGGUGAAAUGCGUAGAGAUCUGGAGGAAUACCGAUGGCGAAGGCAGCCAUCUG